rnacentral:rRNA from 1 species
UACGUAGGGGGCUAGCGUUGUCCGGAAUCAUUGGGCGUAAAGAGCGUGUAGGCGGCUCGGUAAGUCCGCUGUGAAAUCCCCGGGCUCAACCUGGGAAUGGCAAUGGAUACUGGCGGGCUAGAGUGUGUCAGAGGAUGGUGGAAUUCCCGGUGUAGCGGUGAAAUGCGUAGAGAUCGGGAGGAACAUCAGUGGCGAAGGCGGCCAUCUGGGACAACACUGACGCUGAAGCACGAAAGCGUGGGGAGCAAACAGG